UUCGCAAUGCCCGAAAGGGUGACGAAGCGACGCCGCGUGAGCGAAGAAGGCCUUAGGGUUGUAAAGCUCUGUCGAGGGUUAUGAAACGUAGAUGAGUUAAUACCUCAUUUAUUUGACAAAGGCCCCAAAGGAAGUCACGGCUAACUCUGUGCCAGCAGCCGCGGUAAUACAGAGGUGGCAAGCGUUGUUCGGUAUUAUUGGGCGUAAAGAGCACGUAGGUGGUUUUGUAAGUCAGGUGUGAAAGCCUUCUGUUCAAAGGAAGAACGGCAUCUGAAACUACAGAUCUUGAGUAUAGGAGGGGAGAGUGGAACUUCUGGUGGAGCGGUGAAAUGCGUAGAUAUCAGAAGGAACGUCGGCGGCGAAAACGACUCUCUGGCCUAUUACUGACACUGAGGUGCGAAAGUUAGGGGAGCAAACGGGAUUAGAUACCCCGGUAGUCCUAACCGUAAACGAUGGGCACUAAGUAGAGGGGUUUU
rnacentral:rRNA from 1 species